AACGAACGCUGGCGGCAGGCCUAACACAUGCAAGUCGAGCGGACCCUUCGGGGUUAGCGGCGGACGGGUGAGUAACGCGUGGGAAUAUGCCCUUCUCUACGGAAUAGUCCUGGGAAACUGGGGGUAAUACCGUAUACGCCCUUUGGGGGAAAGAUUUAUCGGGGAAGGAUUAGCCCGCGUUGGAUUAGGUAGUUGGUGGGGUAAUGGCCUACCAAGCCGACGAUCCAUAGCUGGUUUGAGAGGAUGAUCAGCCACACUGGGACUGAGACACGGCCCAGACUCCUACGGGAGGCAGCAGUGGGGAAUCUUAGACAAUGGGGGCAACCCUGAUCUAGCCAUGCCGCGUGAGUGAUGAAGGCCUUAGGGUUGUAAAGCUCUUUCAGCUGGGAAGAUAAGGACGGUACCAGCAGAAGAAGCCCCGGCUAACUCCGU
rnacentral:rRNA from 1 species